GCGAGGCCUGGUACAGUUGCUAUGGUCACCGAUCUUUAGUAACCAGUCAAGACCGAAUGUGGUAUAUUGGCGUCUCUCAUUGCCAAGACAAACCGUCUGGCAUCAAGCUUGACUACCUGAUCAAGUUUCUCAACUACGGCCAACCCGGAAAAUGCAAUCAGACAUCCAUUCCCUUUGGUGAUAUGAUAGGGUGAACAUCAUCAACAUCUACAAUAAUAUCAACUCCAACAACAUCA